rnacentral:rRNA from 1 species
CUGGGCUACACACGUGCUACAAUGGACAGAACAAAGGGCUGCGAGACCGCAAGGUUUAGCCAAUCCCACAAAUCUGUUCUCAGUUCGGAUCGCAGUCUGCAACUCGACUGCGUGAAGCUGGAAUCGCUAGUAAUCGCGGAUCAGCAUGCCGCGGUGAAUACGUUCCCGGGCCUUGUACACACCGCCCGUCACACCACGAGAGUUUGCAACACCCGAAGUCGGUGAGGUAACCUUUAUGGAGCCAGCCGCCGAAGGUGGGGCAGAUGAUUGGGGUGAAGUCGUAACAAGGUAGCCGUAUCGGAAGGUGCGGUUGGAUCACCUC